AAAAAGAGGAGACCAGAAUCUGAAUGCAGCUGUGGGAGCUCCUCACCCCUGCGCAAGAAGAAGAAGAGUGUGAAGAAGCACCGCCGAGACAGGUCUAACUCUGGGUCCAGGAGGAAGAGGCGGCACAGAUCUCGAAGCCCCAAGAGCAAAAGAAAGGAAAAGAACAAAGAGAGGAAGAGGCCUCACACGGAGUCCCCAGGCCGGAGGUGCCAUCGCCAUAGCAGUGGCAGUUCCCACAGCCCCUCUCUGUCCUCCCAGUACAGCGGCUCCAGGUCACCCAGCAGGUAGGCCCGGCUUCAGCACGUGACUCACAUGAGCUGGGGGCAGGGUCGGGGACACCUGCAGAUGAACCAGCGCAGGAGGGGUGGGCUGGUGUCCACCUGCAGAGAGAGCAGCCCUGAGGCGCCCCAGACCUUGACCUGGAGAUCAGUCUGGGGCCGGACAGCUGGGCUUGCUCUCUCUGUAAGUGGGCGAUGGUCCAGGUUCGGUGACACGACGGG